GCAGUAAAGUUUCACAAAACGCUUUGCA
rnacentral:sRNA from 1 species